GAGGAUGUGACUCAAGUGGUAGCGUGCUCGCCUAGCAUGUGUGAGGCACUGGGAUCAAUCCUCAGCACCACA
rnacentral:tRNA from 1 species